GCUUUCGUGGCGCAGUUGGCAGCGCGUAAGUCUCAUAAUCUUAAGGUCGCCAGUUCAAGCCUGGCCGAAAGCA
rnacentral:tRNA from 1 species